AGACGAUGCUUAGGCAUCUCCUCAGCCCGAACGAACCCUGCAUAUCGACUGCUUCUUAUAUAAUCCUUAUCCAUAAUUCAUG
rfam:Legionella pneumophila subsp. pneumophila str. Philadelphia 1, complete genome.